rnacentral:rRNA from 1 species
AUUGAACGCUGGCGGCAGGCCUAACACAUGCAAGUCGAGCGGAUGAAGGGAGCUUGCUCCUGGAUUCAGCGGCGGACGGGUGAGUAAUGCCUAGGAAUCUGCCUGGUAGUGGGGGAUAACGUCCGGAAACGGGCGCUAAUACCGCAUACGUCCUGAGGGAGAAAGUGGGGGAUCUUCGGACCUCACGCUAUCAGAUGAGCCUAGGUCGGAUUAGCUAGUUGGUGGGGUAAAGGCCUACCAAGGCGACGAUCCGUAACUGGUCUGAGAGGAUGAUCAGUCACACUGGAACUGGGACACGGUCCAGACUCCUACGGGAGGCAGCAGUGGGGAAUAUUGGACAAUGGGCGAAAGCCUGAUCCAGCCAUGCCGCGUGUGGGAAGAAGGUCUUCGGAUUGUAAAGCACUUUAAGUUGGGAGGAAGGGCAGUAAGUUAAUACCUUGCUGUUUUGACGUUACCAACAGAAUAAGCACCGGCUAACUUCGUG